GUGUCGUAUAAUUUAAAAUUUGUUUUCUUAUUUAAACUAACAAUGAACUUCAUUUAACUAAUAUCACCCACUCAUAAGAUAGAAUUGAAAUAUACGAGUAGGUGGUCGUCAUUACGAUACAAUGUCGUCUGCGUUUACCGGAUUCAGUGAAGAAGAUUUGAAGCGAAUCAAAUCCGUGGAGACAGGUUCAAACAUCGGUACUCACCCCUGCGAGAACAGCGCCACUUGCGCCAGCCCCGGCAGCCCGGCCAGCGAGGCGGUGUACUGCUGCUGCAUCUUCAGCUGCUCCUGCAGGCUGCCCUUCCGGCCGCCGGAGAGAUACUGCUGGAGGAGCAGGCUUUGGACGGCUUGAACCUGGAAUUGAAGACCGAAAUUAUAACACUCUGGCGGGACAAUCCAUGCAGUGGAAGUGCUCUCUGUAGCCCAGAUCCUUGCAGUAUGAGGAACCACAUUCCAAGGUCGAGCUAUACCUGUACAUAGAAAAACAACACUGG